CUUGCCCAGCUUUCAGCACUGAGCAAAGCAGUUGUCCACUGGAAAACAAAGCUCAAGAUCAAAUAACUAAAGACAGAGUUAUAAUGUAUAUGCUCAGGAGGGCAAAAUUAAGGUCAUGUAGGACAUUCUGUAGUGAUUUCUAGUUAUUUAUUUUAACUUCUGCUCAGCACCUACCUUGCUUCUUUUUGAAGACUCUAUUCCCCCUUUUAGCCACGACUUUCUCUUAGCCAGCCCAACCCAUCUCCAGAAUCAUGUUUCAGCCUCUCUUUACUCUUGUCUCUUGCCCCCAUUUUGAUAUUUUAUGUACAUAUGGCUCUCACUCUCCACUCCUAUUUCUCACUGUUGUUUGAACAAAUAGUACACUGCCUGAGGCUGCUGUCUCCUGACAAAUACAACUCUCCCUUUUCCACCCCGUACUCAUGUCUGACUCUGUGUUCUAACACAAAAUACUUUCAGAUGUACAGAAGAUUUUCUGAUUUAAUUUCCCCUCCAGACAAAGAGAAGAAUUAUUUGAAAAAUCCUGAUUAGACAUGAUCUGAAUGAACUAAGGCAACAUAAAGUACACACAGCAAUAAUAAAAAUGAGGAUUUAUAAGUAGGUUGCUCCAAAAGUAAUGUCUUCUAUUUAUUUAAAUGGAAAAUACAACAGAUGCAAAUAGCACAAUAACACUAUUUGUCUUGACUCCGGAAAGUAAACAGCAUUGUGAUGUAGCAGUCAGAAUCUAAGCUUUGUCAGGGUUCCAGGAAAUCACAGAAUCACAGAAUGGCCUGGGUUGGAAGGAACCUCAAGGAUCAUGAAUCUCCAACCCCCCUGCCAGGCAGGGCCACCAACCUCCCCAUUUACUAGAUCAGGUUGCCCAGGGCCCCAUCCAACCUGGCCUUGAACACCUCCAGGGACGGGGCAUCCACAACCUCUCUGGGCAGCCCAUUCCACCACCUCACCACUCUCCUGGUAAAGAACUUCCCCCUGACAUCCAACCUAAAUCUUCCGUCUUUCAACUUAAAACCGUUCCCCCUUGUCCUGCUGUUAUCUACCCUUUCAAAGAGUUUACUCCCUUCAUGUUUAUAGGCUCCCUUCAGGUACUGAAAGGCUGCAAUGAGGUCACCCUGAAGCCUUCUCUUCUCCAGGCUGAAUAAGCCUAGCUCCCUCAGCCUGUCCUCGUAGGGGAGGUGCUCC
ensembl:lncRNA